rnacentral:lncRNA from 1 species
ACUAUGACGUGCUUUUUUCCUUUAGGGUGCGUUUGGUUUGCAUUAUAAAAGAUUACUAAGAAUAAAAAAUAUUCGAGAAUCUUAUUCCUAUUCAUCCUAUUACUAAGAAUGUGAAAUUUUUGUAUUUGGUUCGCACGAUAAUAUUAAUUAGCCAUGUUAUUUAAUAUUACAAAAAAUAUACAAUUUAUUUAUUUAUUUAAUUUUAUAUAAUAUUACCAAAAGUUUCAACAUCUUUUUAGAAAAAAGGGAGAGAGAGUAUAAGUUAGAGAGAGAGAGCAUAAUUAAAAAAAUGGAAAGAAAAAUAUAGUCGAAAUUAAAGGGAGUGAGAGAGUUGAAAUUUUAGAAAGAGAUAGAGAGAGAAAGCUUAGUUUCGAGAGAGAAAAAAAAGUUGAAUUUUAGAGAGAAAAAUAAGUUUAGAGAGAGAUAUAAUACUAGAGUGUAAAGAAAAAUAAUAUCAAUUAGCAGGCGGAUAAAAAAAAAGAAAGAGAUUAGACAUAUUAUGAUUACCCUAAUUUAUUAAUAUGAGGAUACCCACCCUCCCUCAAGGGAAUGAGAUUAGUACUUUGAGGUGAAUCUUAUUCCCAAGUGAAUCCAAUAUUACCAACUAGAUUACUUAGUGCGUUUAGCCAAACACUGUCAUAUUUUUUUUAUUCCCAUUGGAUUACUAAGAAUCUUUAAAAGAUAGUGCGAACCAAACGCAUCCUUAAAGGGAUAAUUGUCUAUACACCCCUCAUGCGUCUGAAAAUAUCCGAUCUAUUAUUUUUUUUUUCUUUCUAAAAUGCCUCUUAUAUGUUUCACCGUUAUUUCAAAAUAUCCCCGCAGUUAUCCCCUGUUAGCUUAAUUCGAAUUAAACAUGGGUUAAAUGUAUACUAAAGUUAAAACCUAUAUAAAAUAUCUAUUUUAUCCCUAUCUUAUUAUGCUAAUCCCUUAAGUUAUCAUCUUUCUCUCCCAACUUGCGCCGGCUCCUCCGCCUCCACCUCGCCGGCUCCGCCGCUUUCACCUCGCCACAUCUCCUCCCAGACCACCACCACCUCCCACACCUCCACCUCCAACACCACCUCUCUCGUUGCUCUCGUCGUCCUCCUCCUCCGCCGAUCUCGUCGUCCUCCUCCUCCGCAGCCGCUCUCGUCCUCCGCCGCUCUCGUCCUCCGCCGCUCUCGUCGUCGCUCUCCUCCUCCGCUGCUCUCGUCGUUGUCGUCGUCCUCCUCCGCUGCCGCCUUGGCCGGCGCCGGGAGCAAGAGGGCCGCAGCGACGAUCCUGUCUCGCUCGAGGGAGCAAGAGGACUGCCGCCUCCUCUGUAGCUCCAGCGAGAACUCACUUCCGGGGCCGGGGCCGAGCCCGAGCCCGAAAUUCCACUUCCGGGCCAUCCCGGACGGACUCACCGACAACCGGGCUCGCUCGGCCGUGCGGUUGCUGGAGCUCGACGCGUCCCUACGUGGUCCACGAGGCCAGUUUGGCCUUCUGGACCGGAUAAGAGGGAGGUCCACGGUGGACCUCCCUCUCAUUAUANUCCACCUCGCCGGCUCCGCCGCUUUCACCUCGCCACAUCUCCUCCCAGACCACCACCACCUCCCACACCUCCACCUCCAACACCACCUCUCUCGUCGCUCUCGUCGUCCUCCUCCUCCGCCGAUCUCGUUGUCCUCCUCCUCCGCAGCCGCUCUCGUCCUCCGCCGCUCUCGUCGUCGCUCUCCUCCUCCGCCGCUCUCGUCGUCGUUGUCGUCCUCCUUCGCCGCAGCCUU